rnacentral:lncRNA from 1 species
UGGUUUAGUAUUUUAGAUGUGGAAAAGUAAAAAAAAUAGAAAAGUAAAUUUUGGAAAGCAAAAAAAAAUUACUUUACAUAUAAAGUAAUUAUUUUGAUUUUUUUUAUUUUUGCUUUUUGCUUUUCAUGGUGUUACCAAAUAUUGCUUUUUGAUUUUUGCUUUUUAAAAAUUAAAAAGUAAAAAAAUAUUUUUUUAAUGGCUAACAAAAUG